rnacentral:rRNA from 1 species
CCUACGGGAGGCAGCAGUGAGGAAUAUUGGUCAAUGGGCGGGAGCCUGAACCAGCCAAGCCGCGUGAGGGAAGAAGGUACAGCGUAUCGUAAACCUCUUUUGUCAGGGAACAAAGACGGGGACGAGUCCCCGGAUGAGGGUAACUCAAGAAAAAGCAUCGGCUAAACCCGUGCCAGCCGCCGCGGUAAUACGGAGGAUGCCAGGGUUAUCCGGAUUUAAUGGGGUAAAAGGGUGUGCAGGCGGGCUUUGAAGUCAGCGGUAAAAGCCCGGGGUUCAACCCCGGCGGGCCGGUGAAACUGGCGGGCUGGAGUUGGAGAGAAGUACGCGGAAUGCGCGGUGUAGCGGUGAAAUGCUUAGAUAUCACGCAGAACCCCGAUUGCGAAGGCAGCAUACCGGCUCCACACUGACGCUGAGGCACGAAAGCGUGGGUAUCGAACAGGAUUAGAUACCCGAGUAGUC